GCCCAGGUGUUGAAACUGGUAGACAUUUCACCUUGAGGUGGUGAAGCCCGCAAGGGCGUGGAGGUUCGAGUCCUCUCCUGGGCA
rnacentral:tRNA from 1 species